CUGUGCUAUUGUGCCCAAGUUGAUACCUGUGGAGAGAAAAGGAAAGAGAGAGUGAGUAACACAAGGAGAAACAGAGGAAACCUGUACUUACAGUACGCUGUGUCCAGCCCAGAGUUGAUACCUGUGGAGAGAAAAGGAGAGAGAGUGGGUAACACGAGGAGAGACCGAGGAAAACUGUACUUACGCCGCUACCUGUGGAGAAAGAGAAAGCGAGUGAGCACCCAAGGAACGAACUGUGUGAACCAGUACUUACCGUGAGCUGUAUUCAGCGAAGAGGAGGAAGAAGGAGGGCGCUACGGAUACCUAAGACUCAGGCCGGGGCCCGAGUCCCACGCCCCGGAUCCCCGUGGCCCCCUUUCUCCCUGACCUCUUCCCGGCCAUAGCCCAUCUGGAGGGCCGAGUCAGAGUUUAGUUUUAAUUGCCCUUUCCCUAUUCCCCAAGCUAUUUUUAAAUAUUUAAAUAAAGAUUGUUUUAUCAUUUAUUUGUUCUCGUGUUGUUUGGCCAUUGGGUUGGCUUUGGGGACCUCCUCGAGGUGGAAGUUGAGAAGGGGUGUGGCUUAGUCAAAGCAUAGCCAGCCCCUGGGUGUGACAUUUACAUAGAAAAACUAUGUAAAAGUAGCGCAUUGGAAUCGAAAAAAUGCACUCUUUGUGAAUGGCCCCUAGGUAUUCUUGGGCUGUUUUAAAAAAAAAAUAAAAAAAUAAUAAUAAAUAAUAAUAAUAAAAAAUAUAGAUAUCAGAGUUGUUUGGAGUGGGGAUGAAUUUACCGUGAUCUGCGGUGACAUUACAAUCGUGUUGCAUUAUGGUAAAUGGGGCGGCCUGAAGUGAACAUCUGAAGUAGACCUGCUCCCUCUAUCAAAAUCGAGAGGUCGAGGGCAUAGGUGGAACAUGUGUAAGGCUGGCCAUGAGUACUUGGGGCAAAAAC
ensembl:lncRNA